rnacentral:rRNA from 1 species
GAAUAUUGCGCAAUGGAGGAAACUCUGACGCAGCAACGCCGCGUGAAGGAUGAAGGCUUUCGGGUUGUAAACUUCUUUGAUCGGGGCAGAAAAUGACGGUACCCGAGGAACAAGCCACGGCUAACUACGUGCCAGCAGCCGCGGUAAUACGUAGGUGGCAAGCGUUGUCCGGAAUUACUGGGUGUAAAGGGCGUGUAGGCGGGAAAGCAAGUCAGAUGUGAAAUCCCAGGGCUUAACUCUGGAGCUGCAUCUGAAACUGUUUUUCUUGAGUACUGGAGAGGAAAGUGGAAUUCCAAGUGUAGCGGUGAAAUGCGUAGAGAUUUGGAGGAACACCAGUGGCGAAGGCGGCUUUCUGGACAGUAACUGACGCUGAGGCGCGAAAGCGUGGGGAGCAAACAGG